AUUGAACGCUGGCGGCAUGCCUUACACAUGCAAGUCGAACGGUAACGGGUCCUUCGGGAUGCCGACGAGUGGCGAACGGGUGAGUAAUAUAUCGGAACGUGCCCAGUAGUGGGGGAUAACUGCUCGAAAGAGCAGCUAAUACCGCAUACGACCUGAGGGUGAAAGGGGGGGAUCGCAAGACCUCUCGCUAUUGGAGCGGCCGAUAUCAGAUUAGCUAGUUGGUGGGGUAAAGGCCUACCAAGGCAACGAUCUGUAGUUGGUCUGAGAGGACGACCAGCCACACUGGGAAUGAGACACGGCCCAGACUCCUACGGGAGGCAGCAGUGUGGAAUUUUGGACAAUGGGCGCAAGCCUGAUCCAGUAAUGCCGCGUGCAGGAAGAAGGCCUUCGGGUUGUAAACUGCUUUUGUCAGGGAAGAAAUCUUCUGGGCUAAUACCCCGGGAGGAUGACGGUACCUGAAGAAUAAGCACCGGCUAACUACGUGCCAGCCGCCGCAGUAAAAC
rnacentral:rRNA from 1 species